GACGAACCGUGCGAACGUUGUUCGGAAUCACUGGGCUUAAAGGGCGCGUGGGCGGGCGGUCAAGUCAGAGGUGAAAUCCCACGGCUCAACCGUGGAAGUGCCCCUGAUACUGAUUGCCUCGAGGGAGGUAGGGGCGUGCGGAACUUCCGGUGGAGCGGUGAAAUGCGUAGAUAUCGGAAGGAACACCGAUGGCGAAAGCAGCGCGCUGGACCUUUACUGACGCUGAGGCGCGAAAGCCAGGGGAGCAAACGGG
rnacentral:rRNA from 1 species